rnacentral:rRNA from 1 species
UACGUAGGGUGCAAGCGUUGUCCGGAAUUAUUGGGCGUAAAGAGCUCGUAGGCGGUCUGUUGCGUCCGCUGUGAAAACUCGGGGCUUAACCCCGAGCCUGCAGUGGAUACGGGCAGACUAGAGGUAGGUAGGGGAGAAUGGAAUUCCCGGUGUAGCGGUGAAAUGCGCAGAUAUCGGGAGGAACACCGGUGGCGAAGGCGGUUCUCUGGGCCUUACCUGACGCUGAGGAGCGAAAGCGUGGGGAGCGAAACAGG